rnacentral:rRNA from 1 species
GAGAACGGAAGGAAAACCAGGGGCGAAGGCGGCCCCCUGGACAAAGACUGACGUUCAGAUGCGAAAGCGUGGGGAGCAAAACAGGAUUAAGAUACCCUGGUAGUCCACGCCGUAAACGAUGUCUACUUGGAGGGUUGUGGCCUUGAGCCGUGGCUUUCGGAGGUAACGCGUUAAGUAGACCGCCUGGGGAGUACGGUCGCAAGAUUAAAACUCAAAUGAAUUGACGGGGGCCCGCACAAGCGGUGGAGCAUGUGGUUUAAUUCGAUGCAACGCGAAGAACCUUACCUACUCUUGACAUCCAGAGAAGCUUGAAGAGAUUCGAGUGUGCCUUCGGGAACUCUGAGACAGGUGCUGCAUGGCUGUCGUCAGCUCGUGUUGUGAAAUGUUGGGUUAAGUCCCGCAACGAGCGCAACCCUUAUCCUUGUUUGCCAGCACUUCGGGUGGGAACUCCAGGGAGACUGCCGGUGAUAAACCGGAGGAAGGUGGGGACGACGUCAAGUCAUCAUGGCCCUUACGAGUAGGACUACACACGUGCUACAAUGGCAUAUACAGAGGGCAGCAAGACCGCGAGGUGGAGCGAAUCCCAGAAAGUAUGUCGUAGUCCGGAUCGGAGUCUGCAACUCGACUCCGUGAAGUCGGAAUCGCUAGUAAUCGUGGAUCAGAAUGCCACGGUGAAUACGUUCCCGGGCCUUGUACACACCGCCCGUCACACCAUGGGAGUGGGCUGCACCAGAAGUAGAUAGCUUAACCUUCGGGAGGGCGUUUACCACGGUGUGGUUCAUGACUGGGGUGAAGUCGUAACAAGGUAACCG